rnacentral:tRNA from 1 species
GCCCCGGUCGUAUAGCCCGGCCAAGUAUCGCGUGAGCGCGCCACGGAUAACCCGGGUUCAAAUCCCGGCCGGGGCACCA